rnacentral:rRNA from 1 species
GUGAGGUAACCUUUUGGAGCCAGCCGCCGAAGGUGGGACAGAUGAUUGGGGUGAAGUCGUAACAAGGUAGCCGUAUCGGAAGGUGCGGCUGGAUCACCUCCUUUCUAAGG